UACGGAGGAUCCGAGCGUUAUCCGGAUUUAUUGGGUUUAAAGGGUGCGUAGGCGGCCUUGUAAGUCAGGGGUGAAAGACGGUAGCUUAACUAUCGCAGCGCCUUUGAUACUGCAGGGCUUGAAUGUACUUGAGGUAGGCGGAAUGUGACAAGUAGCGGUGAAAUGCAUAGAUAUGUCACAGAACACCAAUUGCGAAGGCAGCUUACUAAAGUAUGAUUGACGCUGAGGCACGAAAGCGUGGGGAUCAAACAGG
rnacentral:rRNA from 1 species